GUAGGUGUGGCUGGGCGGGGCAGCGGCUCCCGGCAUCCCAGCGCAGUGUGUAGACGCUCAGUAAAUGUUUACUGAAUGACUAGCAGGGAGGGAAGGUCAGCGCCGGAGGAACUGUUUUAAGAAGAUUCCAGGGGACUGAAGUAGUGCAACAGGAGAGGAUCACCUGACCCCUGAAAAGCCUGAGGAUAAAUACGAGGGAAAAGUGUGGCGAGCCGAGGGGGGAAAAACACUACAUCUGUAAACAGUGUCCAUAUUGGAAAAAUGGAGAGUCCAGCCUUGGUAGAGAUGCUGCUUUCUGGAUGAUGGCCCUGGCUCCGGGUUUCACAGGAGGCAGAUGAGAGGUUUUCCCAGCUGCUGGGAACUGAGAAGACUAUUAACGUGCCCAGAGCGAAUGAUGAAACACAAAGUGUGUAUAAGGAACCGGGUAAAAGCGAAGGUGGAUAAUGGUCUCUGGAGAAGAUCUUCCGGAAGGCUUAUGUUGCAGCUAGACUCCAUCAUCAGGAAAAAGUGGGUGAAGUGUUUUCCAAGGAAGAAAACGGCAACCUGCUUCACAGCGCUUAGUGUGUGCAGAGGUCACUCGGGUUUGCUAGCUGUGCACACCCCGUUGAUGGCUCUCAAUGGCAGUCAGAUAAUCUGCCAGUACAGAUGUAGAGAUGUGGAGUUGGCACACCAAAGUCUUACACGCCCACCCCGACGCCUUGUUCCUGCUCCAGGAUCCCCAAGGACAAUGUCUGGCAAUGCAGACAUUGCCUCAAGAGUGGG
rnacentral:lncRNA from 1 species